AGAACGAACGCUGGCGGCAUGCCUAAUACAUGCAAGUCGAACGAAGGCUUCGGCCUUAGUGGCGCACGGGUGCGUAACGCGUGGGAAUCUGCCCCUUGGUUCGGAAUAACAGUUGGAAACGACUGCUAAUACCGGAUGAUGACGAAAGUCCAAAGAUUUAUCGCCAAGGGAUGACGCCCGGCGUAGGAUUAGCUAGGUUGUGAAGGUAAGGCUCACCGAAGGCGACGAUCCUUAGCUGGUCUGAGAGAUGAUCACGCCAC
rnacentral:rRNA from 1 species